CAUGGUGAGGGGCAGAGAGACGGAGGAGAGAGAGGAGACCUCCCAGUAGAGAGAGCGAGACAGGAAGAGCUGGUAGAGGAUCACCAUGGAGAUGGACUGGCAGAGGAUCACACCAAUGGUCACCACCUGCAGAGAGGGAAGAUAGCGGACGUGAGGAAGAGGACGGGAUGGCAGAGGAACCACAGGAAGCAUCCCUGCAGAGAACACAAGGGUGACCACCUGAUAGGAACAUAUUCGUGUGUCUGGAGCGUACACUCGUGUACUGUGUGUUGUACCUUGGCGAAGCAGAGGUAGAAGUCUCUCUUCAGGGUGCUCCUCUCGGUGGAGAUGAUCUGGUAGAGGACAGACGCCAGCAGGAGGGCCAGGCCCACUCUCAGAGCUAUGAGGAGGAGACCUGCCAGAUUCUGCUGGGUGUGGUAGCUGUGAUGUUGACUGUCUAACUCCGAGUACUGCUCCCACAGCAGCAACCCUCCCUGAAAAUGACACAGUUUCAUUCUCAAACGUUCCACUAUCAUCUGAUCCUGAUGUAUUUAUGUCAAAACCACAGUGUAACCCUGCGUACCUGCACAACGACUCCUCCAACAGCGACAGCCGUGGACUUGGGAGUCUGUUCCCACUGCAGAGGUCUGGACUGAGGCUUCCUUCCGCGGCUCAGAGUCCAGCCCACACACAGACUCAGUAACAUGUACAGCAUGGACACCUGGGACACCAUAUCCCAGACUGCACAUGGAACAGGAAGUGGAAAAGAAGAGGGCACAUAACAUAACAAGACAGUGCUCCAGAGGAUUUCCAGCCGAGUCGGCGUUGAACAGCAAGACAGUGAAACUGAGAUCAGCGUGAGAAGGGAUCACUACGUUUUCCUGGAGACAGAGAGAGAAGAACAACAAACUCAGUACCAAUAUAACUACUGAAACUAAAUAAAACUUUUGUCCAGCUCAA